CUGCCAGCCGACCUGGGAAAACUGAAUUCCCUACAAAUUCUUAGGAUUUAUGAUUGCCCAAGUCUGAAGACGCUUCCUCCUGGCCUAUGUGAAUUGAAGUGUUUGAAGUAUCUUGACAUUUCUCAGUGUGUUGGUCUGGAAUGCCUUCCUGAAGGAAUCGGUGGAUUGUUAAGGUUGGAAAAGAUUGACAUGAGGAAGUGCUCACGGAUAAGAAAUCUACCAAAAUCUGCUGCCUCAUUGCAAUUGCUGCGUCAUGUGAUUUGUGAUGAAGAGAUUUCUUGGUUGUGGAAAGAUGUGGAGACGGCUGUACCAGGUGUUCAUGUGGAGUUUGCAAGGGAAUGCUUUGAUCUGGACUGGCUGGUGGAGUGA
rnacentral:lncRNA from 1 species